GCUGGGCACAGUGUCUCACACCUGUAAUCCCAGUGACUUGGGAGGCUGAGGUAGGAGGAUCACAAGUUCUAGGCCAGCCUGGACAACUUAGUGAGAUCCUGUUUCAA
rnacentral:sRNA from 1 species